GGUGAUUCUUGGAUGACUCACCCCGGAAUCAGGCUCCCUCCUCUCUGGUUGCUGGGUACAUCACCCAAGAACUGCU
rfam:Myotis lucifugus cont2.14078, whole genome shotgun sequence.